rnacentral:rRNA from 1 species
UACGAAGGGGGCUAGCGUUGCUCGGAAUCACUGGGCGUAAAGCGCACGUAGGCGGACUCUUAAGUCGGUGGUGAAAUCCUGGAGCUCAACUCCAGAACUGCCUUCGAUACUGGGAGUCUCGAGUUCGGGAGAGGGAUGUGGAAUUCCAGGUGUAGCGGUGAAAUGCGUAGAUAUCUGGAGGAACACCGGUGGCGAAGGCGAGUCCCUGGACAACUCCUGACACUGAGGCACGAAAGCCAGGGGAGCAAACGGG